rnacentral:rRNA from 1 species
AUGGCCACCGUCGCGGUCCUCAUCCUGCUCGCAUCGCUCUUCCCGGCGCUAGCCGCCGGAACCGAUUGCUGCUCGCCCGCCGCUGACUACGGCUUGGCCCUCACGCCCAGUCACAAGUGCGGCGUCGUCUUGCCCGUGGCCGUGGGCACGUACGACAUGGGCACGUACGCUCCGGGCAGCGCGUACGAGGCCUCCCUGCGCCAUCUCGUCGCCACCAUUCCCGCCAAGGCGAAUGCGGAAUCCAGCGGCUCCUCUUACUAUAGGAAGUCCUGCCGCGACGGUGCUGGCGCGUGCGGGCGCUCUUACGUCGACGACGCCGGCGAGAGCCCCAAUCGGAUUGUGGCCUCCGGCUACUGCUCCUGGCACCCCGACGCCAAGUCGCCGGACUGCGGCGCUUGCAUCGCGCUGGCCUUCCGGGAGGCGCAGAGGCUGUGCCCGUUCCAGAGGAUGGCUGAGGCCGCGGUUGACGGCGGCGCGUGCAACUGCAGCGCACACUUCCACGACUACGACAUCAUGGAGCAGUUCCAGCACGGCGACCCCACUAGUGAUCCUCGGUGGAACACACCGGACCAGGUCAUGGGCGUUGUUGCAGAAAAUGAGGAGAACAUGAGAAGGAGAUGA